AAGAAGGUUGAGGUGUUGACAUAAAUAACCUUGAAUUAGGUGGCAUUUUUCUGAUUGAUGUUCCCCCACCAAAUCCUCCCUCCAGGACAGGACCAGUUCUUUUGGCACUCAGCUGAAGUGAUGAACAGGAGACAAUUUUUCCAAGCUUCCAAGGAGCCAAGCUGAAGAAAGAGUGAAACAAUGGAGGCGCCUUUCUUUCUUGAUCUUGGGAGAAGGUAUUAAACUAGAACUCAGAAGAUCUGGGCUGCUACUUUCUAGUUCGUCACCUCAUGCAGGAUAUGUAGCUUUUGCAAAUCUUGACUUUCCAAAUUUCAAAUGAAGCUCGUGAUUUGUGUCUUGAGUACAUAGGGACUUGCUAUGAGCAUUAACAGAGAUUACGAAUGCAAAGCACUUUGCUUAUCAUUAAUUUUUUUUUCUUUUUUUUUUUUUUUUUUUGAGACUGAGUCUCUCUCUGUUGCCCAGGCUGGAGUGCAGUGGCACCAUCUCGGCUCACUGCAACCUUCGCUUCCCAGAUUCAAGCGAUUCUCCUGCCUCAGCCUUGCAAGUAGCUGGGACUACAGGUGCACACUACCACGCCCAGCUAAUUUUUGUAUUUUUAGUAGAGACAUUGGCUAGGAUGGUUUUGAUCUCUUGACCUCGUGAUGCACCUACCUAGGCCUCCCACAGGCGGGAGCCACCAAGCAGGCUGCUUAGCAUUAAUGUUUUUAACAAAAUAAUGAGUAGAGCUACAUGGCAGAUUCAAUUCUGAUUCUGUGUUAUAUGCUUGAUCUGUAGCUAUGCCUCAGCAGCUUUGCACAGCAUAGGGGCACAGAUGCUUUCUUCUUAUUGUGACUUACAUGGAUUCAAAUUGUAGGUGACAGAAAAAUGUUGGUAUUACAUGUCAAACACAAAGGCAAAUAGAAUAAAAAGGUUAUAAUCAAGCUGUAAGCUGCACGCUCUAUUCAGUCUUCUUUCUCUCUGAAAUAUGUCAACUACUAUUUCCUGAGAUAUGAGGCACUUGAUGAUUGAGAUGAUUAAAAAAUACAUCCACCCGAAGUAAGCAUCAAUUACACAAAUUUACUAAUAAGAAACAAUCAAAUAUGCCUCCACAUGAAUGCACACAACACACACACACAUAAACAGAUUGUUAUGAAUUAUUCUCCAGAUUUCUACUUGUCACUAUUUUAUUAGGUAUACAAAGAAUAUUUUAUAUAUCACUUUGCUCUGGGAUUGAGAAACUUUUGCUUUAAGGUUUUAUUUUAUUUUAUGGUUAGAAAAGAAGGGUCAUUGAACUAUUAUAAACCAGUGAUGUUUCUAGAGUUUUCCUCCAAUUUCAUCAAAGAAGGAGAAACAGAUAUAGUGACCUAACACGUAGUUUUUAGAAACUGUUGUUACAGAGUUAAGAGCUGAAACUUUCACAAGUUUUUAAAACCAACAAACAAGCACAAGAAAAUAUAAUAUUUUCUAUACAAGGUAUUCUGAUGAUAUAAUAGUUUUAUAUUCAUUCAUCUUAUUAAUCAAAGAUGGAAGUAAACAAAAGAGGUCAUAGAUGUUUUUGCUAAUAAAAAAGAGAGGGAGUUCCUUACUUUCAUUAUUUAAUGUUAAUAAUAAUCAUAAUUGGAAAAAAAAAAACCCAUAGAUUCGAAGUUAAGUGGCUUGCCCAAGGUCAGGUUUACCAAAAUAUCAUUUAUUCUAUAUUCAAAGGUCUUUCACUCAAAAGACUCAUUACCUG
rnacentral:lncRNA from 10 species